CCUACGGGAGGCAGCAGUGGGGAAUAUUGCACAAUGGGCGGAAGCCUGAUGCAGCGACGCCGCGUGAGGGAUGAAGGCCUUCGGGUUGUAAACCUCUUUCAGCAGGGACGAAGCGUGAGUGACGGUACCUGCAGAAGAAGCACCGGCUAACUACGUGCCAGCAGCCGCGGUAAUACGUAGGGUGCGAGCGUUGUCCGGAAUUACUGGGCGUAAAGAGUUCGUAGGCGGUUUGUCGCGUCGUUUGUGAAAACCCGGGGCUCAACUUCGGGCUUGCAGGCGAUACGGGCAGACUUGAGUGUUUCAGGGGAGACUGGAAUUCCUGGUGUAGCGGUGAAAUGCGCAGAUAUCAGGAGGAACACCGGUGGCGAAGGCGGGUCUCUGGGAAACAACUGACGCUGAGGAACGAAAGCGUGGGUAGCAAACAGGAUUAGAUACCCUGGUAGUCCACGCCGUAAACGGUGGGCGCUAGGUGUGGGUUCCUUCCACGGGAUCUGUGCCGUAGCUAACGCAUUAAGCGCCCCGCCUGGGGAGUACGGCCGCAAGGCUAAAACCUUAAAUGAAUUGACGG
rnacentral:rRNA from 1 species